CCGGAGAGGCCGUCGCGGGCUUGCCCUGCAGCGGCCGGAAGAUGAAGAGGCGUGUUGGGACGUGGCUGGCCACGGGAAGCUCCGGGCUCCCCAGAGCUGAUCGCCGCCGCCGCCUCGUUCAGGUGCUACGGUUGGUGCUGAGCCCCUGCCCCCCGCCGCCAAGCCUACCUGGCUGGCUCCUCUCUGCCAGGGCGGGGACUCCGUCUGAGCCACAGAACAAGCGCUGAAGACGGCAGGUCGGCCUGGACCCCUGCGAAGAUGGCGGGGGAGAAUGGGGACUCCUCUGAGCAUGUGCAGAGGCCUUUUCUCUCACUACGAGAGGAAUGGUGAUGCCAUUUGACUGGAAAGAGAAGCAGCCGAGGGCCCAAUGGCCCGUGGCAAGAGCAGGCGGGUGGUCCAGGGACAUCUCUUCCCGCCGCCCCCCCCCAACCAGGUGCCAAGGCUCGCCAGUCUCCUGCGGGUGCAGAGCAGCCAUCAGGCUCGUUUCCGGAACAGGCACAAGCAACUCUGUGGGGUCCGUCUUUUCAUUUUACAGACUUUUGCACCCUUUUCCAGUCACCAAGCUGUUCCCAAGGCACCCUCCCCUUUUUGAAAACCCAAACCGCUCUGGCCCCGCAGGAGCCUUGCUUUUGCUGAGGGGGCAGCCGUUGCUCUCAAAGAAGACCUGCGGGGGUGUCUGGACCCUGCGCGCUGUUGCUGCCUGCAGGAGGCGGCUGCCGGGGCGAGGAGGAGGACGACGUGCCACUUGCAGCCGCGGGUGCAGCUGGUUGGAGAGAUCCUUUUGGAGCUGUUCACAAUCCGUUUGGGAUUUCACUACCUGGAAGAGUUUGGUAUCAUCUGCAAAUUUGGCCACAUCGCUGCUUACCCCUGCUUCUAGAUCAUUAAUGGAUAAAUUAAUGGGCUCAUAGGCUCUUUAUGGGAGUGUUGAAAGAAUCAGAAGAGCCGGAGAUAAGAUUACCUGAACCAGCCAAAAUUGGGUUCUUGUUAAAUACUUUGCCUAAGCAUUACAAAUGUUUAAUUAACUUCCUGCAAAUAAAGGAGAAUUUGUCUUUGA